rnacentral:rRNA from 1 species
GACGAACGCUGGCGGCGUGCUUAACACAUGCAAGUCGAACGAUGAAGAAAAGAAUUGAAGCUUCGGCAGAAAUUCAUUUCGGAUUAGUGGCAGACGGGUGAGUAACGCGUGAGCAACCUACCUCUUACAAAGGGAUAGCCUCGGGAAACCGGGAUUAAUACCAUAUAACAUUGCGACGAAGCAUUUCGAUGCAAUCAAAGCUACGGCGGUAAGAGAUGGGCUCGCGUCCCAUUAACCAGAUGGUGAGGUAACGGCUCACCAUAGUAACGAUGGGUAACCGGCCUGAGAGGGUGAACGGUCACACUGGAACUGAGACACGAUCCAGACUCCUACGGGAGGCAGCAGUGGGGAAUAUUGCACAAUGGAGGGAACUCUGAUGCAGCGACGCCGCGUGAGUGAUGAAGGAAUUCGUUUCGUAAAACUCUGUUCUAUGGGAAGAAAAGGACUGUACCAUAGGAGAAAGCUCCGGCUAAAUACGUG